rnacentral:tRNA from 1 species
CGCGCACCUCAGGAGCGGAGUUCCUGCCUUACAAGCAGGAUGCCGGCGGUUCGAAACCGUCCGCGCCCA